AUGGGCUCAAUAAAGGACAGAAAUGGUAUGGACCUAACAGAAGCAGAAGAUAUUAACAAGAGGUGGAAAGAAUACACAAAAGAACUGUACCAAAGAGAUCUUCAUGACCCAGAUAAUCAUGAUGGUGUGAUCACUCACACUCACCUAGAGCCAGACAUCCUCGAAUGUGAAGUCAAGUGGGCCUUAGGAAUCAUCACUAUGAACAAAGCUAGUGGAGGUAAUGGAAUUCCAGUUGAGUUAUUUCAAAUCCUGAAAGAUGAUGCUGUCAAAGUGCUGCACUCAAUAUGCCAACAAAUAUGGAAAACUCAGCAGUGGCCACAGGACUGGAGAAGGUCAGUUUUCAUUCCAAUCCCAAAGAAAGGCAAUGCCAAAGAAUGCUCAAACUACUGCACAAUUGCACUUGUCUCACACCCUAGUAAAGUAAUGAUCAAAAUUCUCGAAGUCAAACUUCAGCAAUACAUGAACUGUGAACUUCCAGAUGUUCAAGCUGGUUUUAGAAAAGGCAGAGGAACCAGAGAUCAAAUUGCCAGCAUCCACUGGAUCAUGGAAAAAGCAAGAGAGUUUCAGAAAAACCUCUAUUUCUGCUUUAUUGACUAUGCCAAAGCCUUUGACUGUGUGGAUCACAAUAAACUGUGGAAAAUUCUGAAAGAGAUGGGAAUACCAGACCACCUAACCUGCCUCUUGGGAAAUCUAUAUGCAGGUCAGGAAGCAACAACUAGAACUGGACAUGGACCAACAGACUGCUUCCAAAUAGGAGAAGGGGUGCGUCAAGGCUGCACAUUGUCACCCUGCUUAUUUCACCUCUAUGCAGAGUACAUCAUGAGAAAUGCUGGACUAGAAGAAGCACAAGCUGGAAUCAAGAUCACCGAGAGAAAUAUCAAUAACCUCAGAUAUGCAGAUGACACCACCCUUAUGGCAGAAAGUGAAGAACAAAAGAGCCUCUUAAUGAAAGUGAAAGAGGAGAGUGAAAAAGUUGGCUUAAAGCUCAACAUUCAGAAAACGAAGAUCAUGGCAUCCGGUCCCAUCACUUCAUGGCAAACAGAUGGGGAAACAGUGGAAACAGUAGCUGACUUUAUUUUGGGGGGCUCCAAAAUCACUGCAGAUGGUAACUGCAGGCAUGAAAUUAAAAGAUGCUUACUCCUUGGAAGGAAAGUUAUGACCAACGUAGACAGCAUAUUAAAAAGUAGAGUCAUUACUUUGUCAACAAAGGUCCAUCUAGUCAAGGCUAUGGUUUUUCCAGUGGUCAUGUAUGGUUGUGAGAAUUGGACUAUAAACAAAGCUGAGCACAGAAGAAUUAAUGCUUUUGAACUGUGGUGUAGGAGAAGACUCUUGAGAGUCCUUGGACUGCAAGGAGAUCCAACCAGUCCAUCUUAA
rnacentral:lncRNA from 1 species